rnacentral:rRNA from 1 species
UACGUAGGCAGCAAGCGUUGUUCGGAGUUACUGGGCGUAAAGGGUGCGUAGGCGGCUUUUUUAAGUCUGGUGUGAAAUCUCCCGGCUCAACUGGGAGGGUGCGCCGGAUACUGAGGGGCUAGAGUGUGGGAGAGGAAAGUGGAAUUCCUGGUGUAGCGGUGAAAUGCGUAGAUAUCAGGAGGAACACCGGUGGUGUAAACGGCUUUCUGGACCAUAACUGACGCUGAGGCACGAAAGCGUGGGUAGCAAACAGG